rnacentral:lncRNA from 1 species
CAGUGGAGAAAAGGGAAAUUUGUACAAAUGGGACGACAGACGGUGAUAGACCAGAGCGAGGAGCAAACUAAAAACUGAUGGAAAACACAGAAGACAAGGCACAAGGCUAACUGGAGACAGGAGUCAAUUAUGCAACAUGCCAAAGUGUACUUUUUCUUUCAUUAUGGUUGUCACAGUUACAGCCUGUCAGGCGUACGAAGGACAUCCAAGGUCCCAUGGGUGACAGGGUGGAUUGGGUGCACUGACUGAAACACUAUGUGUUUGCUGAGUAGACUACAGUCUGACACGCUGGAAGACUUUUGACUAUUUUUCCACACAAUAACCAACUUCUUUCUUUCACCAACUACCAGAGUCUACACUCUAAAAUCUAGUAGAAAUCCUGUCGAAUCUCUCACAAUCUAAUACCACUUUUAGCAAAUGACGGGAUGGCUUCCAAGCAUACUGACAUAGAUGUUUAGCUAUCUGACAGAUCCACUGUGGCCGCAAUCCUCAACUCCCUUUCCUGUCACCAUGAUAGUGGUAUGUUUUGUAGGACGUACAUAUCAACAAAUUAGCUGUCUAUUUCCAACAUACGAUUGUUGCCAUGGCUGCAUUUGCUGAGUGCCUGGCUGAAGUCGAUUCCCCUGACAUAUCCAACAGUCUAGUUUAAUAUUUAUGAUUUCAGAUCUGAGUGACCUUCACAGAAAAAAAAAAAAAUUUAAAGUCUGUAUAAAAUGCUGAUCAUUUUGUGCCUCUUCUCUUUCAGCAGCUGAGUCAACCAUGUGGAAAAAAUCUCAGAGCAAUGAAGCCAUGAAAUAGUAUGCAAUUUCUGGAACACUACAGUUAUUAAAAAGGCCCAAUCGCCCUUUUAUCCCCGCUCUUUCAAAUCCUGCUUCUCCUUUAUUGUUGGAUUUCAGCCAUGCAGAUGUGCAGGGCUCAUUUUUUCCCCCAGCUCAGCUGCCUAUUCCUUAUUCUCUUCAGUCACCUAACAUUGGCAUAUUUAUGUUGGCCCCGUCUUCAAAGGUCAGACAAUCCCUGAAGCACCUGUUAUUUACAGCUGCAAGAGUCCAUAUUCACAACAGGCUUGUGUGAAGGUAAGGUAGGAGACAGAUGGCUGCUGCGACCUCCUUACCUAUCCAUGUGACAGAUCAUCCAUACUGAUGAAAAUAUUUACACGGCAGAGGAUUGACUCUGAUGCCAGCAAGGUAAAAUGUGCUGCAGCAGCUAUGAAAAAGACGCUGCAAUCAAGAGAAAACACGAGUCCUUAUUUAAACUGUUAUUCUACGACAAAUAAAAAUUGCUGCAGGAAGUAGAGUUUCAGCAAAUACAUGAAUGAUCCAAAUCAAGUAAACACAACACCAUUAUCUUCUACAAGAAGGUCAAGUCAAUCAAAAUCCUCAAUGAGUUCGUUAACGAGUCAGUUAUUUGAACGGCUCUUUACAACACUGCGUAACACCGAGUUACACACCCCCUCAAGAGAUGAAUGUUGCCGACCGCUUGCUUCUCUAGUUUUACCAACUGAGGUCUCGCUACAAACAAGCGGGUGCUGGAGGAGAGUGGGUAAGUUGUGUUUAGUCUCUUUGCUAAAGAAAUUAGGCAAAGCUAAAAAGAUGUUUGGUGGCUAGCGCUGUGGCUAGGACCCUAUAUGUACUUUUGAUGAAGUUAGGUGCUGUUCUGAGCAUUAUUUGUGGCUAUAGAGUGGCGUUUUGGUUGAGGUUUGUUGAUGGCUCCUCAGACUGCUGUGUAUUGCUAUCUUGUGGUCGUUACUAAAGUUGGUAUAACUAGAGAAGCAAGCGGUUGGCAACAUUCAACUCAUCGUUUGCACGCCGUUUUCAUGUGCAAACCGCCUAUGCUGCCUUCACGUGUCACCUGUAUGCCCCAAACGCCAGGCAAGGUAGUACGACUUUGUUUUAACAUUUUUAUCAAGUCUUAAUUUUUAUCAGUUAUCUGUAUCCUGCAUAGUUUUUAUUGUACCACAAAGUUUUUUGGUGAGGGAAAAAUUCAAAACAGUAAUCUCAAUGUCAAAGCAUGGGAAUAUGGCACCACAUCAUGGAAUGUAUACAAUAUAUACAAUGAAAACACAAGCCAAAUGAAGUUAUAAUCAAUAUUUCGGAAUAAUUCCCACCUUUGUGUACCCUUGGCUGACUUCUGAAAAAUAAAUAAAUCAAACAAUAAGUCGGUCUUUUCAAACGGCUCUUUGACAGCAACGACUCCUCAAGAUCUAGUAUAAAUCCCAGCUCUAAUUCACGCUGCUUUCAGGACCACAAAAACAAAGCUCAGAUAAAGCUUUAUGGCGUAUAGGACCAGGACCGAGGCAUGAAGGCAGUCAGAGCUCACCUGCAUGCAGCUGAACCCAGCCAUUGUUUUGUUUAUGAGGUUCUCUUUUGUUUAGGAAGAAGUGUUUCCUGUCAUUAUAUGAAAUUAUUUCGGAAAUUGUUUCAGUUAGAGCGGUGCUUGACAUUAUUGUUAAUCUUCCAUGCUCGGUGAGGGACAAACUACUGUAAGUGUUUGCUUGGGCAUACAAAGGUAGCAACACAGUGGAAAUUAUUUUUACAGUUUUUCUUCUUUCAAAACAAAAGAAAAACAGCCUACAACAACAGAGAGGAUAAACAAACAGAAGCUUGCGUAGGAAAAAAAACAUGCUUUUCUGAACAACAGUAUACAACUGUAUGACCUGUUGUUCAUUCCCUUUUCAUAAAAAUCCAUACAUGAUCCAGUUCAGUAAAACAACCAUGAUAACUGUUAAAGGACUGUGAUUGAGUUGGUAUAUCUGACACUUUUGUAAUAUUAAGAAAGACUCGACAUCAAGAUAGGACAAGAUUAAACACUUUUAAGCAACAUUUAGAGAGUUACAGUGGAGAAGAAGAAAAACUUCCUUUUGCAGAACGAGGCUCAUCUCUGACAGUCAUCUACUGCUACUGUGUUAGGAUUAAAUAAAAGAGGCGGAGGGAGAUGCAGAAAAAAGAGGGAUGGAUGGAGACAAGGAAAAUCCACAACGAUUGUACAUAUAGAUGUGUGGUUAAAGUGCUGAAAAUAAUGGAGUAAGUGUGCGACCAAUCUUAGUUUAAUUAGUGACGAUUAAAGUCGGCAUGUCUGUAGUAGUGGCAUAGUGGCAUCGUCCUUUAACAUCUGCAACAAGAUGCUGCAGAUGUUCUAUCAGUCUGUUGUGGCGAGCACAAUCUUCUUUGCUGCGGUGUCCUGGGGCGCGUGCAUCAAGGCAAAGGACGCCAACAGACUGAACAAACUCAUCAGAAGGGCAGAGUCUGUUGUGGGCUCUAAACUUGUCACCCUGGAAGAGGUGGUGGAAGACAGGAUGCUGGCAAAGCUGCUGGCAAUCAUGGACAAUCCCUCCCACCCCCUCUACAACACACUGGACAGGUUGAAGAGCAGCUUCAGCAACAGACUCAUUCAACCCCGCUGCUCUAAGGAAAGAUACAGGAAGUCAUUCCUACCUACUGCAAUAAGACUCUUUAACUCAUCCACCCCUGUUAGAGCCACAGUCACUUACAUGGACUAGCCUGCCAUUCCUACAUUGUUGUUAUAAAUACGGGUACACAUGCUUAGGUUGUAAUUAAGUUAUAUUAAGCACAUAUAAGUAUCAUACAAUAUUUUUAUCACUUUUGCACAUUUCUCCUUUGCACAUCUACACUUACAGAUUCUUUCAUCUAAGCACAUACUAUUUAAGUACUCAUAUUCAUUCAUUAUCUUGUAUAGUCUUGUAUAGCCUUGUAUAGUCUUGUAUAUUUUAUCUAUUUUUUGUAUUUCUCUUGUAUUGCUUGUAUCGGCUACUAUAACAACCGAAUUUCCCCUCGGGGAUUAAUAAAGUUCUCUAUCUAUCUAUCAUCUAUCUAUCUAUCUAUAGUGUGAAUAGAUGCAACGACCAUUUGACAAAUCAUCCAACCAUGUGUCGAUAUGUUUGACCUCCUCAACCUGUGACCUUUACUCAUAGCUUCCUGUUUCCCAGUUACUGUUAUAGUGUUUGAAGCGGAGACGCUGCCAUAUUGGGUGUGUCUGCUUUUUUACCCUUUUACCAAAUGUGAAAAAGUGAAAAUGCAGUCUCAGCAGAUGGCUGUCGUACAUGAGUCUGGUUCUGUUAGAGGUUUCUGCCUGUUAAAGGAAGUUUUUCCUCUCCACUGUAACUUUAUAAAUACUGUAGUGUUUUACAUAAGUGGUUGAAGAUGGGGUGGGAGUGGGUCUGAUCUUACAGGAUGGGGCUCAACCUUAUCUCAUCUUUACAUUGGGGGCUCUAUUUUCGUCCUCGCCAGCGGCAUGGCACAGGCGCGGCACAAGUCAGGUUCGCUGCGCCGAUAAGGUGUACCCAACCACACUUUGGUAUUUUGGUGAGCGGCGCAGCCCGGUGUAAGUACCCCCCCUCCCUUACUCAGCUCCUCCCAGCGGCGUAAGUAGCAGUAAGGGAGGGAAUAAGGCGUGGGGUGGAUUUAACACGGCUGAGUCCUGUUUUUACCAAUCACAUCAGCUCCUCCCCUCACCUUUAAAUCCGCCACCAGCGAGGCGUAUUACAAUUUUCGUGAAGUAGUCCAAGAGACCAAGAGAUGGCUGAAGACAGCAAUGCCACACGAUGGCGAUAGAAGGCAGCCCCUCAACAAGGGCGUCCUCCACACUCUCUCAUAUAAGCACAGAGGGAUUUGGUGUGUGUAAGGUUCGACCCAUAGACUGUCCAUAUACUAAGGACAACUUGGUUCCGCCUACCGCCUGUAUACGGAUUUGAAGCCAAAUAGCUCUCGGUAUUUGUGGGAUUUUUCUUCAUUUCCUGAAACCAGUGGUGCGCAUUCGGGCGCGCAGUCGCUGUGAUGACACUCGGCUCAAACAGCGUAUCCCCCGGGUGAGCUACGCAAUCCCUGAACGCCCAUAGGCUGUAUCAGGUGUCAAUCAUAGCAAACAUGAACACCCUAAUAACUUUUAAAAACGGAGCUUCACAGAAAAAAGAGGACUUGAGCACAAACCAGUCUUACAGUAACUACAUGUCAACAUCACAAGCAGGGGGGAGAAACAUUUAUACUCUGUGUAAUAAAUUUCUAAAGUUUGUCCACAACUCCAUAAGCUUUGCUGGCGGAGGCGGGAUUUAUGACCUAUACUGCAGCCCACCAACAGAGGGUGCUGUUCUCGGGGUGGCUUCACCCAGCAAGGAGGCAGACUCUGUCCAUUCUUUAUACAGUGUAAGGUUGGACCCCCUGGUAAGACAAACACCCUUUUCCACAAGUAAAGACUCUCACAUUAAGUUGCAUAUAUUUAAACCCCACACGACAAAGGUGGGUUGUGUGCACAGAUCACAACAUGAACAAAUUCCAACGACGGCAUUAAAAUCGGAACAACCUUUGCGUACAGGACGCAUCGCGCUCCUUGGCCUGGCUCUAUCAUUAUAUCCAUAUGUGGGCCUAACGCGGAUUGAAUAUUCACAGAAUUUUAAGGAUGUGAGAACAUUAGAUAAUCAGAAUUUUGAAUGAAUUUUUUUUUUUUUUUGUUCAAAUUUUC